CACCGCACCCGGCCCUGUCAGAAGAUUUUAAACUACUAAAACUAUCUCUUUAAUGAUUACAAGAUAACUAAAAUAUUCUCUCUCUUCUUGAGUCAGUUUUUAUAAAUUAUAUUUUUUAGGGCUUUGUCUAUUUCACCUAUUUGUAGUUGCAAGCACAAAAAAAAAUUGAACCUAAACUCUUCCAGUUUUGGUAGAUAUUCUCCGUAUUUCACUUCAUUACCACUUUAAUUUAUCAUAUUUCAUUAUUUGAAACAUACAUUUUUCACAUUUUAACAUCUCUGAAAUCAGUUUCUGUCUUAAACUAAUGGCAUCCUACAAUCACCAUCAGUCAGGUGGGCAUAAGAGAUUUCAUACUCUGUGCAUGUACAAGUAGCAAAAGUACAGCAUCAAAAAUUGCAGAAUGUGUAUCAGUGGCUUAGAAGAGAAUCUUUAGGCUAAUAGUGGAGCAUUCUUUUAAUCCCUAGGAAUCAAAUGUUAGUGGAGAAAGGGAAUGGCCUCGUAGUUUAUCAGACUUAUUCAGCAACAUUCCUGAAACAUGAGUCAGAAGUAGGUUAGUGCUACAUAAUUGCAAAGUCAGGCUUAGGAGCCCAGCAUCAAUGGUUUUUCAUUAUUUUAAGGAUUAUUUUUUGAAAUAAUACAUUACUACUAUUCUUUUCUUUUAAAACCCCACCCCUAACCUACUAAUAUUCUAGAUGGCACGGAGCAUUGUGUGGAAGAGUCAGAUUGAAUGGGAGGAAGUUUAAGGCAUAAUUUUAAGCAUUUUUUUCUCUUAUAUUUUCUUUUCUAUGUUUGGUGAAGAGUAAUAUAUGAUUAAAAAUAGAUGACUACUCUAAAAGAUCUCCUUCAAUACUUUAGAUUGGCUAAAGACCGGCCCCUCCACCAGUAAAGCUACACCUUUUUCCUUUGGUAUAAUGGACCCAAGAGAGAGGGUCUUGCUAUGUUGCCCA